rnacentral:rRNA from 1 species
UGCCAGCCGCCGCGGUAAUACGGAGGUUGCAAGCGUUGUUCGGAUUUACUGGGCGUAAAGGGAGCGCAGGCGGCUAGGCCAGUCUGAAGUGGAAGCCCGGGGCUCAACCCCGGAAGGUCUUUGGAUACUACCUAGCUUGAGUUCGUGAGAGGAGAGUGGAAUUCCAGGUGUAGCGGUGAAAUGCGUAGAUAUCUGGAGGAACAUCGAUGGCGAAAGCAACUCUCUGGCACGAUACUGACGCUGAGGCUCGAAAGCGUGGGGAGCGAACAGGAUUAGAUA